GGAUGAACCGGAAGCCGGG
rnacentral:snRNA from 1 species